rnacentral:rRNA from 1 species
CGGACGGGUGAGUAAUGCCUAGGAAUCUGCCUGGUAGUGGGGGACAACGUUUCGAAAGGAACGCUAAUACCGCAUACGUCCUACGGGAGAAAGCAGGGGACCUUCGGGCCUUGCGCUAUCAGAUGAGCCUAGGUCGGAUUAGCUAGUUGGUGAGGUAAUGGCUCACCAAGGCGACGAUCCGUAACUGGUCUGAGAGGAUGAUCAGUCACACUGGAACUGAGACACGGUCCAGACUCCUACGGGAGGCAGCAGCA